AAAGAACUUCUGUACAUAGUUGAUAGGAACAGUGCUAAACUCUUUAAUUUAGAAAAUUCAAGGCAGUCACUGCCAUAUAUUUUCAACUGUCUGUUCUAGCCAUGUGGCUAGCAACUUGAAGACAUGAUCCCUGAAAUUGAAGAGUUAAGACAUAGAGAGUUUUAAGGAUCUCUAUGAUUUUCUGUGCUGUGACACAUUCUUGUUAAUAUGGCAGUAUGAUCACCAUUUCUAAGAUCAUCUCUGUCUUGACUAUUUCAGUCAAAAGAAAUGCAAAUAUUCCUGAGAGUAGUAACCUGUUAAUAAGUCAGCUAUUAUAAACAGUUUGUCCAGAUUAAUGCCUGAGCAGGAGUAGCACUUGGGAGGUGAGAGCCAGAAUGAGGGAAAGGACAGUACAUUUCAAAGGAGAAAGGCAGAGAAAAAUAUUUGAAGAAUGCAAAGUAGCUUGAACCACCUUGCUGACCAAUCUUAGGUAUCAUGGUUACCUCUGUGGAAGCCCAAGGUGGGUAUUUGUUUAGACUUGAUCUUUCCUGGGACAAGGUGCUGGUCAGGAUAGUAAGGGAGAUUAAAUGUACUUAGAUGUGCUUCCAGAGGACAGGUAUGUCAUCACAAAGGAGAAAGGGCUAUUAGCUCCUGACCUACUUAGAAAAAGUGUAACCAAAGUGGAACCAGGAAGUGUGUGAGAUCUGAGCACGUCCUGUUCUCUCUCUCUCAGGUAGAGCAGAGGGCAGGACGUUCCACCAGGAGCUCACCUGACUCUCUCCUCCACACCUAUGUUUCUGACUUUCCUUAGAUACAACCAGAAAGCGAACACCCUUAGAUACCUGGAUACCUGGAGAGGUUUGAAACAACUCGACGGCCAGUUCACUAUCCCUUGCUACCCAACUGUUUGGGAGAGUAGGAAUGCUCCAGAAGAAAAUUGAAUCAGCACCACUUUCCUGUUUUGAUCUUUGAGAAAAGAAAGAAAAUCAGCAUUUACUGAGUAAUUUGCCUUGUGCCAGACAAUGUAUCAGAUGUUUUAUAUAUGAUAUUCCACAGGAUGACUCUGUUAUUCCCUUUCUAUAGGAUACUAGGAGAAGUUGGUAGUCUGCAACCCGGAAGAGGGCCCUCCCCAGAAGCCAACCAGGCUGGCACCCCGAUCUUGGGCUUCCAGCCUCCAGAAUGAGAUACUAAUUCAUCAAUUCAUGCUUGAUACUUGGAAAGAAGCUAUACAAUGCUCCCCCCUCCCCAGUCUCCUGGAGUCAACAUUGAAUAUUUUUGACACACUCAGGAUGUCUUCCACAUGGGCUCACAAAUAAUAGAAGACUCAUCAGCUUUCACAUGGCAUCCAUGUUUUUUCCUCCUGCCUCAAGGCAAUUAAUUUAACAGUAAGUUGCCUAGUUUUUGCAUUUUUAAAAUUUUUAGCUGGGCGUGGAGGCUCAUGCCCGU